UAAUGAUUUCUUAUGGGGGUUCGUAUUUUGAUUUGAAUCAUUUCAGGGAACUGGCACAGUUAUUUUCAACAAAUAGAAAAUAUGCAAAUGACACCUGUAGUAUAUGCAGUACUCUUCACUUCAUAUUAAGAAUAAUGCACUGUGCUGAUACUAAAGAAAAAGAAUAUUCCUAUAAAUAUUCUGUAAAGAUUAAAAGGUUCUGUGUAAGUCUUCCACUAGCCACCAUGUAAUGAUGUAAAGUCAAGCUAAAUAAGUUAGCAUUGUAAAUUUGAUAAAUUUAAUGUCUGCUGGAUGGCUAGCUACAUGAUAAAACAGUUGCUUAUGACCUGCACAAUCUGGAUUCAAAUCUGUCCUAUGCCUCCCAUCUUUCAGGAGGAGUCUAGAUCUGGUUCAUUGAACUUCAUCCUUCACUAUUUCAAUUAACACUAUCAUGGAUGUUAACCAGUCUGUGGUGAGAUCUAAAAAUAACUACCGGCAGAUAAAGAAUAUUCCAUGUAUGAUAUGGCAGCUUACCUGAAACUAAUUAACCAAAUAAGAAAACAAUGUGAUUUAGGAAAGAAUGUACAGAAUUUUAUUUUGUUUGAAUUUAACAUAAUUGUUUUGCAAAAUUUUUGUUUCCUAUUGUGUUGUAUUUUGUUAUAUUAAAUCAUAAGAAAAUAUCAGGAAUAUGAUUUUAUCAGUUUCCUAAAGAUGGUGAAUAUCAAGGCAAAUGGAUUCUCAUUUGUAUUUAUGUAUUGUGG
rnacentral:lncRNA from 1 species